rnacentral:lncRNA from 1 species
GAGGAUGGGUGCCUGGCACUGGUUUUUCCAAAUUAAAUGGUUACUUGCAGCAAACACUCUCAGGAUACAAUAUCCAUUUUCUCUUUUUCCCAACUUAGAAGUCUCCAAUUUGUAUUUAACUACAAAGCUACAUUUUCAAUCUUUUUUGAAUUAAGAGUUGCCACGUGACAGAGUCUAGCUAAUAAGAUAGAAAUAAAGGUCACGGCGGGGCGGUGGGGCGGCGGGGGCGGGAGGAGGUUCUAGAAAAGAGCACAGAUGCACCUGGCACAUACUAUUCAAAGUGUGGUCAGCAGACCUUAGAAAUACAAAGCUGCAGAUUUAUUGAAUCAAAAUCUGCAUUUUAAUGAGAUUCUCAGGUGAUUCACGUGCAUGUGAGAGUUUUGCCCUUCCCCUUCCUUCUUCUUGGUACAUAGACAUGUGGAGAUGGAAGAGCUUUUUGUGACCCUGAGGCAUCAAACCACACGCUGAGAAUAGCUGUACAGAAGGAGUUCAAAGCAGCUCCCAACUGCCUACGUCCAGACCUCACUUACACAGUGACCUGAGAUGUAAGCGGCAUGGUAGAUUUGAGAUACCACGGGAUCCACAUUCAGCCCUGUUCGGACUACGAUAUCCCACAUUCCUGAGCAGAGGUGACUGCAUUAGGAGUCAGCACUUGAUACAGACUGAGGUGAGCAGUUUCCCUUUUCCAAGAAUUUGGAGUUGUGAGCAAGGUAAAGGUGUCAGUCCUUGGAAGGACCUAGAACUGCAAUAUGUCAAUUUAGGAGCUGAGAGGAAAAUGCAUUUCAUCAUUGGACGUAUGCAAAAUGCAAAAUCUGCAAAAUGCAAAAAUCUGACCGGGGGAGGGAAUGUUAAAAGAAAAAUGACACUUACUAAAGAAUGGUAAGGCAUCCUAUUCGGGGCCAUCACCAUAGGUGUAGGGACCACUGCAGGGGGUUCUGCAGUUGGGGAGAGAGAUUGGGCUCAACUGAGAAUUCAACAAGGAAAAGGGGGUUUGUAGCCAAAGAACAGGGUAGAGGGUCAGUGGAUGGAAACUUACUAAGAGGAAACAGCAGGGUAAGGAGACAUUCUUGCUGAACUGACUUAACAGGAUUCUUGCUGAAGACAGGUCAGGGUGCUCACACAUCACCUAGUGGGUGGGGGGUUGCGGAGAGGAUAAGGAGCCUGUUCAGUGAUAGAGGGUGAGGGAUUUUGGUUAAAAUGACCUAGCAGGAUUCUUGCUAAAAUGGGACAAUGCAGACAUAAACACAGAAGCCUAAAAUCAGGGCUUAGUUGAGAAGAGAGUUCAGGGAAAUCUGAGUAGAGUUUGGUCAAGGAGAGAAACUUAGGAGAGAGGGAAGGAGAGAGAGAGAGAUUGAAGGUAAACAUCCAGAAAGAGUUGGUACCGAUGGUUUUUUUCAGUGCUGAGGUACAAUUUGGCUCCCGGACAAAUGAUGACCUAGCUCCUGCAUUCAUAAGAU